rnacentral:misc_RNA from 1 species
GAUGAAGAACGUAGUGAAAUGCGAUACGUAGUGUGAAUUGCAGAAUUCAGUGAAUCAUCGAAUCUUUGAACGCACAUUGCACCUCUCGGUAUUCCGGGAGGUAUGCCUGUUCGAGCGUCAUUUGUACCCUCAAGCUCUGCUUGGUGUUGGGUGUUUGUUCCGCCUCUGUGUGUGAACUCGCCUCAAAACAAUUGGCAGCCGGCGUACUUGUUUCGGAGCGCAGCACAUUUUGCGAUCCAGAUCAACGUACAGCGGCAUCCAAGAAGCCUUAUUUAACGCUCUUGACCUCGGAUCAGGUAGGGAUACCCGCGGAACUUAAGCAUAUCAAUAAGCGGAGGA